GACUUCACCCUAAGUUUGCGCAGAAGUGGUAGGAAGUAAAGCUUCAUGAAGGCAUUGUAAUGUUAGCAGCCUGGAGUGCAAGGAAUCAGCCAUUUCACCCCACAUACUGACUGUUGGGGCUUUGAGCAAGGCAGUCUGCCCGUGGGCUGACAUUGACGGCAGAAGAGGCCAUGCGGCCUAGCAUCACGUACUGCCUGACAAAAUGUCUCCUGUGAUACUUUUGUCACCAGGACUACUGAGCUGGAUUAGAUCAGUACGGAUGUACGUUCCAUGGGUUGUCAUAGCAACGAGGAGCUAGGCAGGUGGAAAAUGGCUCCCACCUAUCUUCCCCAGAAUUCGUGGGGCUGUGUGGGAUGGAGCUGGGGGCUCAAGGCCUUGAGGCCUGGCAGCUAACAGAAUAGAGAAAGGAUGUGACUAUGAAGCAGAGAAGUGAAGAGGAUUUAACACAAACACUGAAAUAUUCCAUACCUCUAAACAUGUACUCCAUACUUUAAAGAGACCUUAUACAAUUCACAUGGAUAUAAUCCAUCCUUCCUUAAUCUGAACCCCAGCUGACUUUGAGCAGCCAAUGCGUACUCUCUAAGCACCCCAGCUAUGAGCUUCAGCAUCCCCAGAGGCAGCAGCAGUCUUGCAGAGAAUUGGUGGCAGCCUCAAGGCCCUGCCCUGCCCCCAGCCUGGAGGACUCCUGGAGCUGCAAAAUAGCCCUACUGAGGGCCUGCAGGGCAACCUUCCUGAGACUGGAGCCUCCAUCCACUGUGGUGAUAUCCCAAAGGAUACGAGGCCUCACAGCGCUGCACGCUUAUGAGGAUACAACCUUAAUACCACCAAGCAGCAAGUCACUGGGAGGGCUGCAUGUCGGUGUGAAUGCUUGUGUGGUGUAUUGCAAAUACACAAGAUAUGGCAUAUCACCAGCAAAAAUGAGUUAACUUGGAAAUUCCACCUAGGUUGGGC
rnacentral:lncRNA from 1 species